UACAGAGGGGGCAAGCGUUAUUCGGAAUUAUUGGGCGUAAAGGGCGCGUAGGCGGACCUGCAAGUCGGGGGUGAAAGCCCGAGGCUCAACCUCGGAACUGCCUUCGAUACUGCGGGUCUCGAGUCCGGGAGAGGUGAGUGGAAUUCCUAGUGUAGAGGUGAAAUUCGUAGAUAUUAGGAAGAACACCAGUGGCGAAGGCGGCUCACUGGCCCGGUACUGACACUGAGGCGCGAAAGCGUGGGGAGCAAACAGG
rnacentral:rRNA from 1 species